AAAUGUAUUAGAGGUCCCGCCUGCCCUGUGACUAUAAGUUUAACGGCCGCGGUAUUAUGACCGUGUGAAGGUAGCGUAAUCACUUGUCUUUUAAAUGAAGACCCGUAUGAAUGGCACGACGAGGGUUUAACUGUCUCCUUCCCCCAAUCAAUGAAAUUGAUCUACCCGUGCAGAAGCGGGUAUAAUAACAUAAGACGAGAAGACCCUAUGGAGCUUUAGGCUAAGGAUUAAACAUGUUAAAAGAGCUAAACUUUUUAAUCCCAAGGAAACUCGAACAGCCAAAAACCAAAUGUAAAAUAAUCCAAAUGCCUUCGGUUGGGGCGACCAUGGGGAAAAAAGAAACCCCCACAUGGAAUGGAGCCAUCCUCCUAAACCAAGAAAAUCAAUUCCAAGUAAUAGAACAUCUAACCAAAAAUGACCCAGGAACUAAUAUCCUGAUCAAUGAACCAAGUUACCCUAGGGAUAACAGCGCAAUCCUUUCCCAGAGCCCAUAUCGACGAAAGGGUUUACGACCUCGAUGUUGGAUCAGGACAUCCUAAUGGUGCAGCCGCUAUUUAAGGGUUCGUUUGUUCAACGAUUAA
rnacentral:rRNA from 1 species